rnacentral:snRNA from 1 species
CUGCUUCAGUAGCACGUAUACUAAAAUUGGAAUGAUAUGGAGAAGAUUAGCAUGGCCCCUGUGCAAGGAUGACACACAAAUCUGUGAAGCAUUCCAUAUUUUU